UACAGAGGUCUCAAGCGUUGUUCGGAUUCAUUGGGCGUAAAGGGUGCGUAGGCGGCGCGGUAAGUCGGGGUGUGAAAUCUCGGAGCUUAACUCCGAAACUGCAUUCGAUACUGCCGUGCUUGAGGACUGGAGAGGAGACUGGAAUUUACGGUGUAGCGGUGAAAUGCGUAGAUAUCGUCUGGAACGCCAAUGGUGAAAACAGGACAGCUGGGAGUGUGCUGACGCUGAGACACGAAAGCCAGGGGAGCGAACGGGG
rnacentral:rRNA from 1 species